rnacentral:rRNA from 1 species
UGGGGAAUUUUGGACAAUGGGGGAAACCCUGAUCCAGCCAUCCCGCGUGUGCGAUGAAGGCCUUCGGGUUGUAAAGCACUUUUGGCAGGAAAGAAACGUCGCGGGUUAAUACCCCGCGAAACUGACGGUACCUGCAGAAUAAGCACCGGCUAACUACGUGCCAGCAGCCGCGGUAAUACGUAGGGUGCAAGCGUUAAUCGGAAUUACUGGGCGUAAAGCGUGCGCAGGCGGUUCGGAAAGAAAGAUGUGAAAUCCCAGAGCUUAACUUUGGAACUGCAUUUUUUAACUACCGGGCUAGAGUGUGUCAGAGGGAGGUGGAAUUCCGCGUGUAGCAGUGAAAUGCGUAGAUAUGCGGAGGAACACCGAUGGCGAAGGCAGCCUCCUGGGAUAACACUGACGCUCAUGCACGAAAGCGUGGGGAGCAAACAGGAUUAGAUACCCUGGUAGUCCACGCCCUAAACGAUGUCAACUAGCUGUUGGGGCCUUCGGGCCUUGGUAGCGCAGCUAACGCGUGAAGUUGACCGCCUGGGGAGUACGGUCGCAAGAUUAAAACUU